UCUAGAAGUAAACCAAAUAUGCAUACACGUUUGGUUCUGCAGUGAUGCAGAUUGGUAGAUGAAUGUGAUAUGGUUGCACAUGUUGUGAGCCCGUCGGUGUCGCCGCUCUUUUCGCUUACCCUAUAUGUAGCAGUAGUAGAUUGGUGCUUGAAGUACCAACCUGAUGUGCCCCGCCUAAUUGCCAUAAUGUCUCUCCCAAGUUUUU